rnacentral:rRNA from 1 species
GACAGAGGGUGCAAACGUUGUUCGGAAUUACUGGGCGUAAAGGGCGCGUAGGCGGCCUUCUAAGUCGAACGUGAAAUCCCCGGGCUCAACCCGGGAACUGCGUCCGAUACUGGAAGGCUUGAAUCCGGGAGAGGGAUGUGGAAUUCCAGGUGUAGCGGUGAAAUGCGUAGAUAUCUGGAGGAACACCGGUGGCGAAGGCGACAUCCUGGACCAAUAUUGACGCUGAGGAGCGAAAGCCAGGGGAGCAAACGGG